UUAUUUCUUCUCAAAUCAUUUCCAGCAGCCUCCUGGAGCUGGUGUUGGGAUGAUGCCACAGCAGCCUCUUAUGUAUGGACAACCAAUGAUGAGGCCACCAUUUGGAGCAGCUGCAGGACCUGGUGCACAAGUUUCUCCAAGUCCAACACCCGCCACCCAGAGUCCCAAGAAGCCUCCAUCAAAGGACCCACUAGCAGAUCUUAACAUCAAAGAUUUCUUAUGAGCUAUUUAAGUUUUGUGAAAGGAUAAGUGAAGAUGCAAAUUUGAAAUCUGCAAACAAGAAUUUUGUUGCUCAGAAUUUCCAAGUGAGCCACCAGUACCAAACCCAGUGCUUACUCAAGACUUCUCUCCUACUUCCAAAACGUGUAGCACAGCUGUGAAAGUGAUCAUAGGAAUGUGUACUAUUUUAGUUGUUAUCCCUUCUCUCUCUCUCUCUCUCUCUCUGUUUGUGUACUUGGGUUAUAAUUUAUGUGUUUCUCAACUUAAACAUUGGAUGUAUGUUUCUGAUGCCUUCUUAGUGCUUUUCUGAACCAAUCCAUUAGGAACAGAUUAUGCAGCUGUUGUGUGGUGUGAGCCAUUUGGAGCGAUGUGUCUGUGUUUCUGGAGGUCUUAAUGUAAAUACCCUUGGCGACCCCCUAAAUUUUCUCUUCAAAUCCAGUUCCCUUUGCAUAUCUGUUAUACAAAACAAUAUUGUGGUUAUAUCAGGUAGCAAGAAGAACACUGUCGAUCCUUUUUUUUUUAAAGUGUGUGCAAUGUAAUAUUUUUUUUCCAAAGCAAGAAUUUAUUAUCAAAUUUGUUGUGGGGUACAUUUUAAUUUCCUGGCAUUCUAUCUACUAAUAUGAAUGAAAUUCAUAUUAAUAAUCUCCUAUCAAGUUACUUGACAAAGGUUGUUAAAAAAAAAUCCCCCACAUAAAAAUACUUUAUCAGAUUUCUUUAAAAAAAACAUUUGUCUUCUAUUUUCAUUUAAAAACCAUCAUAUUUAUCAUUGAUAUUUAAAAUGCACUGAAAACAAGUAAAGGGUAAGUUUCUUGGCAUACAAUUCAGAAAAAUCAAACAUAACAAAAGCAAACUCUCUUAGAUUUGUCAGGCUAUUUCAGUUGCCCAUUGUUACUAGGGGCAAAUCAUGAUUUUUUCCCCCCUUUUGCUUUUAUGUACACCUGUCAGUUUUGUUCUUCUCUGUACAUAUCUUAGAUUAGUGUUUUUCAUCCUCCCACAGCACUUAUGUAUUUUCUGUACUGUUUGUGAUUAGAGGUCACACUGAACCUGAAUUAUGCCCUUUACCGUAAACAAAAGUGUUCUUUUAUCGUUUUAGUUUGUUCUCUCAUACUGUGUGUGCUGAUGGCUUAGCUUAAGAUUUUUGACUUCUUAAUAAGGUCACUGUUGAUCAGUGUUACAAGUGGCUUGGCAGUUCUUUGUUAAAGCAUAUUAGGUUGGAAAGAUGUUCAUCUAAGUCUUUCAAAUUAAUAUUUAAUCAACAUGUGGUACCAUUUUUAAAAAGUGGUUGUAUAUUGUGGGGAUAACAUAACCUGUAACAACAGAGAGUUAGAGAGAGAAUUUCAAAUGGAUUUGCUUUGUAUUUUGGUUUGAGGAAAAAACCCAAUGCAUGUAUACCCUCUGAGAUGCAAUAAAACACCUUGAUCAAAGUAAAUUCAAAAUCAAGUGGUCUCUAUUUUUUUUUAAAUUAUCCAGUUUAUGAUGAUAGUAGAGUAAAACUGCACUAGGAUUGGUUUACAGAGUUUAACGAUUGUGAUCUAGAGAACGGGUUUCUUGAUGUUUUGCCAG